GCCCAGAUGGGAUUAGCUUGUUGGUGAGGUAACGGCUCACCAAGGCGACGAUCCCUAGCUGGUCUGAGAGGAUGACCAGCCACACUGGAACUGAGACACGGUCCAGACUCCUACGGGAGGCAGCAGUGGGGAAUAUUGCACAAUGGGCGCAAGCCUGAUGCAGCCAUGCCGCGUGUAUGAAGAAGGCCUUCGGGUUGUAAAGUACUUUCAGCGGGGAGGAAGGUGUUGUGGUUAAUAACCGCAGCAAUUGACGUUACCCGCAGAAGAAGCACCGGCUAACUCCGUGCCAGCAGCCGCGGUAAUACGGAGGGUGCAAGCGUUAAUCGGAAUUACUGGGCGUAAAGCGCACGCAGGCGGUCUGUCAAGUCGGAUGUGAAAUCCCCGGGCUCAACCUGGGAACUGCAUUCGAAACUGGCAGGCUUGAGUCUUGUAGAGGGGGGUAGAAUUCCAGGUGUAGCGGUGAAAUGCGUAGAGAUCUGGAGGAAUACCGGUGGCGAAGGCGGCCCCCUGGACAAAGACUGACGCUCAGGUGCGAAAGCGUGGGGAGCAAACAGGA
rnacentral:rRNA from 2 species